rnacentral:misc_RNA from 1 species
AACGGUCUAUACCUGCGGUACCUGCGGAGGGAUCAUUAGUGAACGCCCUCACGGGCUUAUAACUAUUCCAAACCUCUGUGAACCGUGCCCUUCGGGGCUAUUUUACAAACAUGGCGUAAUGAACGUCAUAUAUCAUAACAAAACAAAACUUUCAGCAACGGAUCUCU